CCUACGGGAGGCUGCAGUGGGGAAUAUUGGACAAUGGGCGAAAGCCUGAUCCAGCCAUGCCGCGUGUGUGAAGAAGGCCUUCGGGUUGUAAAGCACUUUCAGUGGGGAAGAAAGCCUUGGGGCUAAUACCCUCGAGGAAGGACAUCACCCACAGAAGAAGCACCGGCUAACUCCGUGCCAGCAGCCGCGGUAAUACGGAGGGUGCGAGCGUUAAUCGGAAUUACUGGGCGUAAAGCGCGCGUAGGCGGUCUGAUAAGCCGGUUGUGAAAGCCCCGGGCUCAACCUGGGAACGGCAUCCGGAACUGUCAGGCUAGAGUGCAGGAGAGGAAGGUAGAAUUCCCGGUGUAGCGGUGAAAUGCGUAGAGAUCGGGAGGAAUACCAGUGGCGAAGGCGGUCUUCUGGACUGAUACUGACGCUGAGGUGCGAAAGCGUGGGUAGCAAACAGGAUUAGAUACCCGAGUAGUC
rnacentral:rRNA from 1 species